GACGAACGCUGGCGGCGUGCUUAACACAUGCAAGUCGAACGGAAAGGCCCUUCGGGGUACCCGAGUGGCGAACGGGUGAGUAACACGUGGGUGAUCUGCCCUGCACUUUGGGAUAAGCCUGGGAAACUGGGUCUAAUACCGGAUAGGACCACGGCAUUCAUGUGCUGUGGUGGAAAGCUUUUGCGGUGUGGGAUGGGCCCGCGGCCUAUCAGCUUGUUGGUGGGGUAAUGGCCUACCAAGGCGACGACGGGUAGCCGGCCUGAGAGGGUGACCGGCCACACUGGGACUGAGAUACGGCCCAGACUCCUACGGGAGGCAGCAGUGGGGAAUAUUGCACAAUGGGCGCAAGCCUGAUGCAGCGACGCCGCGUGAGGGAUGACGGCCUUCGGGUUGUAAACCUCUUUCGCCAGGGACGAAGCGCAAGUGACGGUACCUGGAGAAGAAGGACCGGCCAACUACGUG
rnacentral:rRNA from 1 species